UGUAACGAAUUUUGCCUGAUGAGUAUUUUGUACCUUCCACCCUGUAACGGCAGUGGUUUCGCGAAUAAUAUUUCUUAUGUCACAAGUGUCGAAGCUUCGUUUCGCUGCUUCCAUAGAUGGUAAAUUUCAUUGUUUACUUGAUUGAAAGUGUGUAUUUCAUCUGAUGUGUUUUUUUCUAAAGCGGAUAUAGAAUUAAUGUAAUGAUGUGUACUUUCAGAAUACCAAGAUUUCCCCGACUUCUCUCCAGAGCUCUCAGCAUCAAGGCGUGAGACCAUGCCCCUCAAUAUCUCUCCACCAAUACAAGAGCCAGCAUCCCAGGGGGCACAGGAGCCAUUGCCAACAGCACCAACUACACAGAGAACCCCAAGAGCCAGGACCAGGACCCGGAAAGUGCUCACUCCAUGUUAUAUGAAGAGGCUUCAGCACUACUGCGACGAGAACUCCCACCUCCAUCAAAUUGUUGCAAGACUUAAAAAGUCCAAGAAACCAAUUGCAUCUCAUGCGCAGCUUCUUCUUGAAGCAGGCAGGUACCUAAAGAAGGAUUUUUUUGAAAUUCUAAGAGAGCAAAUGCAUCUGCAACCACUGAAAAAACAUGGGAGACGAUGGCCGAUGCAACUUAGACAGUUUGCCCUCAGUCUUUACUUUACAAGCCCUGAGGCAUAUAAAUAUCUAUCAAAGGUACCAAGUAGGGGUGUGCGAAUAGUGAAAUUUCAUCUCGAAUCGAAUAGUGCCGCAUAGUGGCCGAAAAUAUCGAAUAGUAUCGAAGCGUGCACUGUCAGUAACGGCAAGAGAAAGGAAAAAUCAAGAAAGCUACGGCGUGGUGACAGGUUUGUUACGUGCUUGUUCGGGAGUAUUUUUUUUUUUUUCAGGUUUUAUGGGCGCGCAACCAUGUUGAUAGAAGAGCUGCCAUUCCAGUUAACCGUGCCACUCUUAACCUCUUGGGCAACAGAAGGUGGUGGUACGGUAGCUAGUUUUUUUUUUUUUGUAUAAUUGUACAAUAUGGCUCAUCUGACAACGGUCACGUUAUUGUGCUCCAUGGCCAUGCUCUGGGCCCAAAAAUCUUCAGGCGCCCGUUCACAGCAGCGUUUUGUUUGAGCACCGGAACGAUGGGAGUUUCUGAACGAGUGGUGCAGUACGGCAGUGGCGAAUGUGCAGCGUGAUCAAAUUUUCACAUGUGAAGCCAAUCCUGAAGGGUUUCGCACGCCAAAUUCGGGACGUUCUACAGCACUUGUGGCAUACGCGACCGAACUAUUCAAAAGUCUGUACCUUCGUUUCGGAAGUGAAGUUGAGAAGGGCUUGCCACUUUUCUUGUCUUUCUCUUUUUUUUUUUUUCGUGCUGAAAUAACAUAACCUCCUCUAAGGUAAACACGUGAUCAUUUUCGAACCAGGAAAUUGGUGAAAGUUUUAACGAAGGCCUAUUGUAACGACGUUAGCGUUAGUUUUAGCCACCCUACCUUCACCAAGUUGCACCAUUGGCCUUUGUCGCGUUUUAGAUAUUCGUACUGUCGAAUUAUUCGAAAGUUUGAAUACUAGCUAUUCGAAAGUCGAAUUGAAUUAUUCGAUUAGUUAGUAUUCGAUUCGAAUUCGAAACUCGAAUAUUCGCACACCCCUAGUACUGAGCCUUCCCACAGUGAAGUCCCGAAGGACGUGGUUGUCGGCCGUAAAUAUAAAGACAGGAGUUUUGCCUCAGAUUCUCGAGUUAUUCAAAGAAAAGGCAAGAAAAAAUAUUGGGAAAUUCAAGACAGAGCUUGCUGCCUAAUUUUUGACAAAAUUUCAUUAAGAAAAAAUCUGCAGUAUGACCCUAAGGAAGACAUCAUACAUGGAUAUGUUGAUAAUGCCAGAGAAACAAUGCCAGAGAACAAAUGGCACAGCGCACACUGCAGCACUUGUGGUCUCUGGGACAGCGAAGAAAUGGAUACAGCCAGUAGCCUUUUUGAGAAGAGAGGGGACAGUUCGCGCAGGGCCCCUUUUAAUGUCAUUGAAAAAGCUAAUCAUUGAGCUAAAGGCAUGUGGCCUCUUCGUCAAAGCAUUGGUUUGUGACCAGGGUAGCAGCAAUUGCGUUAUUGCAAGGACACUGGGUGUGAGCCCUGACAGGCCUUUCUUUAUUGCUGAUAAAUAGAAGAUUUCCUUCAUUUUUGACGUCCCCCACCUGUUGAAAUGUAUGAGGAAUAAUCUGAGGAAGCAUGAUAUUCCUAUUGGAGAUAAGGUUGCUUCCUGGGGGCAUAUUAAGAUUUGUAUGAAUCAACAUAAUCACCUGAAACUAAAAUGCCUACCUAAACUCACUGAGGGCACAUCUAUGAAAGUGCAUUUGGUAACAUGAAAGUAAAGUGGGUGCUCAGCAACAGUGUCUAUCUAGCAAUAGAAGCAUUCGUAGCAUUUAAUGUUCUCCACCAGAAGCCACAAGCACAGCUGAGUUUGUUGUGAAAAUAGAUCAGUUUGAUUCAUUAAACAGUUCUUGUGUAAAGAUAGCCGAGAGAAAAAUGAGGUAUACAAUUGAUACUUCUACAGGGUACAUUGAAUUCUUGCAUUCUUGGAUUGCAUGGAUUAAAUCUUGGAUAUUCAAAGAACCUAGGCAACCAAGAACCAUUUAGGGCUGGCAGGUGACAAUUAAAGCGGUUUGUAUGCUGUGGGCAGAUCUGCAGGAAUCCUAUAACUUCAAGUUUUUGCCCGCUCGUCGUCUGAAUCAGGAUCCCUUGGAGAACUUGUUUGGGAUCAUUCGGCAGCAGCACAGCUGUAACGAGACUGCAAACACAUUUCAGUUCACUGCCGGUCUCAGGCAUAUCAUUGUCGGGAAGCUCUUCAAGCUUUCAGAUGGCAGCAACUGCCAAGCAGAUAAGGCUGUUCUUCUAACUGAGCUAAAGAAAUUAAGACUCGAUCAAGAAAGUCCUACUGUGUCCGACACCUUCAGCUCAAACCUUUCAGACACCGUAAAACCAGCAGAUGUACUUGAAUCAAACAUAGUUUGUUACGUGUCAGGAUACCUAGUACAAGCAUUUCUGAAAAAAGCACCGUGCUUACAGUGCAAGGAUCUCUUGAAAGACAAAAGCCAAGAUUUGUCUUCACCAAACCAAAUCUCCAUGAUGUUCAAAGCAGUGGAGAUGCAGGACAAGACUCUAGGUAAUUUAACAGUGCCCACAGAAGCAGCUUUCAAUUUUGUCAGAAAAUUGGAAGAAGCAUUCUCUGUCAAAUAGGUGCUGUAGCACAC